rnacentral:lncRNA from 10 species
UGAGUCUUAAUUUUCUCAUCUGUCCUUCGGGGAUAAUAAUAGCACCAAUCUUAUAGGAUUGUUGUAAUGAAUAAAUGACAUCAUGCACAUGGUAGGCCCUUAAUAAGUGUUGGCUGUUAGGGUUAUCUGCAUGAAAUCUGAUCAUUUAAAUACAUGCCAUGUCAUGCUACCUUGACUUUCAAAUCUGGAAAAUUUCCCCCAGUGACCCACUGCUGGGCAGAGCUUGUAAAGUUAACUUUUAAAGGAAUUCACUGUGGCUGUUAAUUGAGGUGACUUCCCAGAGACAGACUCAUCACUAUUGUUGCCGCUUCUGCAACCCCUGGAGAGGGACAAACUGUCCCAGAAGACUCUGGGCUAAAGCCCACCACCUCCCAGAAUUGCAAAUUUUAAUAUCUGAUUUUAGAAUUAUCUCCUGUCUACAAACAAUGGACCAAUAAUAACACACAUUCAAGAGCAACAUCCGAAACACAACUUCAUAUAACAGAAAGGUGG